AUGGUACUUGGUGCAUUCCUGCUCUUGUCUCUCUUAUUAGGAGGAUCUGUUGGGAAUACCAUAAAAUCCUUGAAUUCUUCAGUGGUCAUCAGUGAGGGAGAAAGUGUCACUUUCUCCUGUGACUACAGCGGUAAUGUCAAUAGUUUACAGUGGUAUCGGCAGUACCCCAACUCCAUACCAGAGUUCCUCUACUACAUACUUGAAAAUGGUUACCCUUCAGACCCACUUCCCCGUCUGACUCCCUCCAUAAGUAAAGAAGAAAAGCGUGUGUUUCUGGAGCUCUCCUCUGCAGAGGCGUCUGACUCUGCUGUGUACUACUGCGCCCUGGUGCCCACAGUGACAGGAACUCAGACUCUGCUUUGCACAAACCUCUGAGAUGUGCAGGAGGAGGGAGAUCCAACAUGUCCUCUUCAGAGACAGCAUUCAUUUGAUACACUCUGGCUAUUCAUUAUUCAUUCAUAUCCAGUACGCUGAUACAGGCUUGAACUCAUCA